ensembl:lncRNA
GGGGAGGGGGAGAGAAGGGGGAAGAGAGGGAGAAGGUGAGGGGGAGUAGAAGGGGGAAGAGAGGGAGAAGGUGAGGGGGAGUAGAAGGGGGAAGAGAGGGAGAAGGUGAGGGGGAGUAGAAGGGGGAAGAGAGGGAGAAGGGGAGGGAGGUAUAUAUGGUGCCUUACUGUGUGUGGCUUUGGUCAAAAGUAGUGCACCAUUAUAGGGAAUAGGAUGCCAUUUGAGGGUACAUCCCCACUGUGUAGUAAUAGGAUCUUCUAUGUUAUUUACACUGUCUCUCACUCACACUCCGCUCAUAACACACUGACUAUAGCACAGUGAUGAUAUAAGAGACCAGAGAUAUGCUGGGAAAGUAACAAAAAGCACCACACAUGUUGUACGUCUGACUGGUACAUAGUUACUGUACAGGAAAUAAAGGAAUCGUUUUCCAUUGGAAUGUCUUAGUUCCUCGACGGCCAAACGCUUCCAUUGUUUAACAGAAGCGUCUGACUAGAUGGAUCAGUGUGUGUGUGUGUGUGUGUGUGUGUGUGUGUUCAGAGGCUUCUGUUGGCUCCUAGAUGUAUCUGUGUGUGUUCAGAGGCUUCUGUUGGCUCCUAGAUGUAUCUGUGUGUGUUCAGAGGCUUCUGUUGGCUCCUAGAUGUAUCUGUGUGUGUUCAGAGGCUUCUGUUGGCUCCUAGAUGGAUCUGUGUGUGUUCAGAGGCUUCUGUUGGCUCCUAGAUGUAUCUGUGUGUGUUCAGAGGCUUCUGUUGGCUCCUAGAUGUAUCUGUGUGUGUUCAGAG